rnacentral:rRNA from 1 species
UACAGAGGGGGCAAGCGUUGUCCGGAUUUAUUGGGCGUAAAGAGCGUGUAGGCGGCCAGGGAGGUCCGUUGUGAAAACUCGAGGCUCAACCUCGAGACGCCGAUGGAAACCCCCUGGCUAGAGUCCGGAAGAGGAGAGUGGAAUUCCUGGUGUGAGCGGUGAAAUGCGCAGAUAUCAGGAAGAACACCCGUGGCUAAGGCGGCUCUCUAGUACGGUACUGACGCUGAGACGCGAAAGCGUGGGGAGCGAACAGG